rnacentral:pre_miRNA from 13 species
GGUCCGGACAGUCUCGGGGCUCCCGCCCGGUUCAAGUAAUCCAGGAUAGGCUGUCGGCACCACGGCCUGUCCUCGGUUACUUGUCUCGGGAGGUGGCCGCCCACACCCCAACGCCCG